AUGGAGCAGAAGAAGAGACAGCUUGAGGAGAGCCAGGACGCUCUGGCUGAAGAGCUCGAGAAAACACACGAGAUGUCAGGAGAGGAGAAGAAGAAGGAGGACAUCGGCAGACACGAUGGGGACGGGGACAUAAAGAAAACUCUGGAGGAGCAGCUGGAGAACCACAGAGAGGCUCACCACAAACAGCUGAGCUGACUGAGAGACAAGAUUGAAG